GGGUUGUGAGGUUAAGCGACUAAGCGUACACGGUGGAUGCCCUGGCAGUCAGAGGCGAUGAAGGACGUGCUAAUCUGCGAUAAGCGUCGGUAAGGUGAUAUGAACCGUUAUAACCGGCGAUUUCCGAAUGGGGAAACCCAGUGUGUUUCGACACACUAUCAUUAACUGAAUCCAUAGGUUAAUGAGGCGAACCGGGGGAACUGAAACAUCUAAGUACCCCGAGGAAAAGAAAUCAACCGAGAUUCCCCCAGUAGCGGCGAGCGAACGGGGAGCAGCCCAGAGCCUGAAUCAGUGUGUGUGUUAGUGGAAGCGUCUGGAAAGGCGCGCGAUACAGGGUGACAGCCCCGUACACAAAAAUGCACAUACUGUGAGCUCGAUGAGUAGGGCGGGACACGUGGUAUCCUGUCUGAAUAUGGGGGGACCAUCCUCCAAGGCUAAAUACUCCUGACUGACCGAUAGUGAACCAGUACCGUGAGGGAAAGGCGAAAAGAACCCCGGCGAGGGGAGUGAAAAAGAACCUGAAACCGUGUACGUACAAGCAGUGGGAGCCUCUUUUAUGGGGUGACUGCGUACCUUUUGUAUAAUGGGUCAGCGACUUAUAUUCUGUAGCAAGGUUAACCGAAUAGGGGAGCCGAAGGGAAACCGAGUCUUAACUGGGCGUUAAGUUGCAGGGUAUAGACCCGAAACCCGGUGAUCUAGCCAUGGGCAGGUUGAAGGUUGGGUAACACUAACUGGAGGACCGAACCGACUAAUGUUGAAAAAUUAGCGGAUGACUUGUGGCUGGGGGUGAAAGGCCAAUCAAACCGGGAGAUAGCUGGUUCUCCCCGAAAGCUAUUUAGGUAGCGCCUCGUGAAUUCAUCUCCGGGGGUAGAGCACUGUUUCGGCAAGGGGGUCAUCCCGACUUACCAACCCGAUGCAAACUGCGAAUACCGGAGAAUGUUAUCACGGGAGACACACGGCGGGUGCUAACGUCCGUCGUGAAGAGGGAAACAACCCAGACCGCCAGCUAAGGUCCCAAAGUCAUGGUUAAGUGGGAAACGAUGUGGGAAGGCCCAGACAGCCAGGAUGUUGGCUUAGAAGCAGCCAUCAUUUAAAGAAAGCGUAAUAGCUCACUGGUCGAGUCGGCCUGCGCGGAAGAUGUAACGGGGCUAAACCAUGCACCGAAGCUGCGGCAGCGACACUAUGUGUUGUUGGGUAGGGGAGCGUUCUGUAAGCCUGUGAAGGUGUGCUGUGAGGCAUGCUGGAGGUAUCAGAAGUGCGAAUGCUGACAUAAGUAACGAUAAAGCGGGUGAAAAGCCCGCUCGCCGGAAGACCAAGGGUUCCUGUCCAACGUUAAUCGGGGCAGGGUGAGUCGACCCCUAAGGCGAGGCCGAAAGGCGUAGUCGAUGGGAAACAGGUUAAUAUUCCUGUACUUGGUGUUACUGCGAAGGGGGGACGGAGAAGGCUAUGUUGGCCGGGCGACGGUUGUCCCGGUUUAAGCGUGUAGGCUGGUUUUCCAGGCAAAUCCGGAAAAUCAAGGCUGAGGCGUGAUGACGAGGCACUACGGUGCUGAAGCAACAAAUGCCCUGCUUCCAGGAAAAGCCUCUAAGCAUCAGGUAACAUCAAAUCGUACCCCAAACCGACACAGGUGGUCAGGUAGAGAAUACCAAGGCGCUUGAGAGAACUCGGGUGAAGGAACUAGGCAAAAUGGUGCCGUAACUUCGGGAGAAGGCACGCUGAUAUGUAGGUGAAGUCCCUCGCGGAUGGAGCUGAAAUCAGUCGAAGAUACCAGCUGGCUGCAACUGUUUAUUAAAAACACAGCACUGUGCAAACACGAAAGUGGACGUAUACGGUGUGACGCCUGCCCGGUGCCGGAAGGUUAAUUGAUGGGGUCAGCGCAAGCGAAGCUCUUGAUCGAAGCCCCGGUAAACGGCGGCCGUAACUAUAACGGUCCUAAGGUAGCGAAAUUCCUUGUCGGGUAAGUUCCGACCUGCACGAAUGGCGUAAUGAUGGCCAGGCUGUCUCCACCCGAGACUCAGUGAAAUUGAACUCGCUGUGAAGAUGCAGUGUACCCGCGGCAAGACGGAAAGACCCCGUGAACCUUUACUAUAGCUUGACACUGAACAUUGAGCCUUGAUGUGUAGGAUAGGUGGGAGGCUUAGAAGUGUGGACGCCAGUCUGCAUGGAGCCGACCUUGAAAUACCACCCUUUAAUGUUUGAUGUUCUAACGUGGACCCGUGAUCCGGGUUGCGGACAGUGUCUGGUGGGUAGUUUGACUGGGGCGGUCUCCUCCUAAAGAGUAACGGAGGAGCACGAAGGUUGGCUAAUCCUGGUCGGACAUCAGGAGGUUAGUGCAAUGGCAUAAGCCAGCUUGACUGCGAGCGUGACGGCGCGAGCAGGUGCGAAAGCAGGUCAUAGUGAUCCGGUGGUUCUGAAUGGAAGGGCCAUCGCUCAACGGAUAAAAGGUACUCCGGGGAUAACAGGCUGAUACCGCCCAAGAGUUCAUAUCGACGGCGGUGUUUGGCACCUCGAUGUCGGCUCAUCACAUCCUGGGGCUGAAGUAGGUCCCAAGGGUAUGGCUGUUCGCCAUUUAAAGUGGUACGCGAGCUGGGUUUAGAACGUCGUGAGACAGUUCGGUCCCUAUCUGCCGUGGGCGCUGGAGAACUGAGGGGGGCUGCUCCUAGUACGAGAGGACCGGAGUGGACGCAUCACUGGUGUUCGGGUUGUCAUGCCAAUGGCACUGCCCGGUAGCUAAAUGCGGAAGAGAUAAGUGCUGAAAGCAUCUAAGCACGAAACUUGCCCCGAGAUGAGUUCUCCCUGACUCCUUGAGAGUCCUGAAGGAACGUUGAAGACGACGACGUUGAUAGGCCGGGUGUGUAAGCGCAGCGAUGCGUUGAGCUAACCGGUACUAAUGAACCGUGAGGCUUAACCUUACAACGCCGAAGCUGUU
rnacentral:rRNA from 1 species